GCGCCAGUAGCUCAGUGGAUAGAGCGGCGGUCUCCGGAACCGUAGGUCGGAGGUUCGAUCCCUCUCUGGCGCG
rnacentral:tRNA from 1 species